GGCAGGUUGCCCGAGCGGCCAAAGGGAGCUGACUGUAAAUCAGCCGCGUCAUGCUACGAGGGUUCGAAUCCCCCACCUGCCA
rnacentral:tRNA from 1 species